AACGAACGCUGGCGGCGUGCUUAACACAUGCAAGUCGAACGCGAAAGGGGACUUCGGUCCUGAGUAAAGUGGCGCACGGGUGAGUAACGCGUAGAUAACCUGUCUUCAUGUCUGGAAUAAUACGCCGAAAGGGGUACUAAUACCGGAUAUUCUUGCUUUUCAUAAGUUAUGCAAGCAAAGGUGGCCUCUGCAUAUGCUACUGCAUGAAGAGGGGUCUGCGUACCAUUAGCUAGUAGGUGGGGUAAUGGCCUACCUAGGCGACGAUGGUUAGCGGGUCUGAGAGGAUGAUCCGCCACACUGGCACUGGAACACGGGCCAGACUCCUACGGGAGGCAGCAGUGAGGAAUAUUACGCAAUGGGGGAAACCCUGACGCAGCGACGCCGCGUGAGUGAAGGAAGGCCUUCGGGUCGUAAAGCUCUGUCAAGAGGAAAGAAGUGUACAAUGGCUAAUACCUGUUGUAUUUGACGGUACCUCUAAAGGAAGCACCGGCUAACUCCGUGCCAGCCGCUGC
rnacentral:rRNA from 1 species